GACACUUUGGCCGAGUGGUUAAGGCGCAGGUCUGCUAUUUAUGUGCCGGCUUUCAGCUAGCAAUAUUUCCGGUUAGGGAAUAGCGAAUCUGUCCCUUCGGGGGCGUGAGUUCGAAUCUCACAGGUGUCG